CCCUAUGCUGCCGAGAAAAGCCUCUAGUGAGUGUUGUGGCGGCCCGUACCCUAAACCGACUCAGGUGGUCAGGUAGAGAAUACCAAGGCGAUCGGGUGAACUGUGGUUAAGGAACUCGGCAAAUUGCCCCCGUAACUUCGGGAGAAGGGGGACCUCUGCUGGUGAUGGGCUUUACGUUCUGAGCUGGUGGGGGUUGCAGUGGCCAGGGGGAAGCGACUGUUUACUAAAAACACAGGUCCGUGCGAAGUCGUAAGACGAUGUAUACGGACUGACGCCUGCCCGGUGCCGGAACGUUAAGGGGACCGCUUAGCCAACGCGAGUUGGCGAAGGUGAGAACUUAAGCGCCGGUAAACGGCGGUGGUAACUAUAACCAUCCUAAGGUAGCGAAAUUCCUUGUCGGGUAAGUUCCGACCUGCACGAAUGGCGUAACGACUUCCCCGCUGUCUCAACCACAGACCCGGCGAAAUUGCACUACGAGUAAAGAUGCUCGUUUCGCGCAGCAGGACGGAAAGACCCCGGGACCUUCACUACAGCUUGACAUUGGCGUUUGGAACGUCUUGUGUAGGAUAGGUGGGAGACUGGGAAGCUGUCACGCUAGUGAUGGUGGAGUCAUUGGUGAAAUACCACUCUGGUCGUUUUGAACGUCUAACUCUGGUCCGUGAUCCGGAUCGGGGACAGUGUCUGGUGGGUAGUUUAACUGGGGCGGUUGCCUCCUAAAGAGUAACGGAGGCGCCCAAAGGUUCCCUCAGCCUGGUUGGCAAUCAGGUGUUGAGUGUAAGUGCACAAGGGAGCUUGACUGUGAGACUGACAGGUCGAGCAGGAGCGAAAGCUGGGACUAGUGAUCCGGCAUCGGCGUGUGGAAGCGGUGUCGCUCAACGGCUAAAAGGUACCCCGGGGAUAACAGGCUGAUCUUCCCCAAGAGUCCAUAUCGACGGGAUGGUUUGGCACCUCGAUGUCGGCUCGUCGCAUCCUGGGGCUGGAGUAGGUCCCAAGGGUUGGGCUGUUCGCCCAUUAAAGCGGUACGCGAGCUGGGUUUAGAACGUCGCGAGACAGUUCGGUCCCUAUCCGCUGCGCGCGCAGGAGACUUGAAGGGGGCUGUCCCUAGUACGAGAGGACCGGGACGGACGAACCUCUGGUGUGCCAGUUGUACCGCCAGGUGCACGGCUGGUUGGCUACGUACGGAAGGGACAACCGCUGAAAGCAUCUAAGCGGGAAGCUCGCCUUGAGAUGAGGUCUCCCACCCCGUGAGGGGGUAAGGCUCCCGGUAGAUCACCGGGUUGAUAGGCCGGAGGUGGAAGCACGGUAACGUGUGGAGCUGACCGGUACUAAUAGGCCGAGGACUUGACCAC
rnacentral:rRNA from 1 species